rnacentral:snoRNA from 1 species
CCUGCAGGAUAGUGUGUAUCGGCCUAAUGCCUUAUGCUAUGCAUUUUUUUGCCGAAAGUGUUUCCUGCUAUAUCAAUUAGAGGAAAGUGGGCAGUUGGGUUAAGCUUAUUCUGUUUUCUCCAACAAUCAUUUUCCUCACAUUA